GGUCUGUGUGAGAGUUGUGCAUGUUCC
rnacentral:piRNA from 1 species